ensembl:lncRNA
CACCUGCCUAGCCCUUCACGCCCAUACCCUCCCUGUAUCAGCAUCCUUUUGCCACUUGCUGGUUCCCUUGGUCUGCGAGUAUGAGGACCUUUGUUGUGUUGGCUGACUCCACCCAGGCCUGUGAACCUCUCAGUACCAGAGCCAGUCCGCCCUUGCGCGGGCCGCCCUGGGAGAAGGACGCACGGCUUCGAGGGCACCUCACCUUGGGCACCCACGCGCAACGCAGGACGCUUCUUCUGCCGCGCAGCCUCCGCCUCCCGCAUCUGGUGCCGUGCCAGGCGCUGAGGACUGAGGCGACCCAGGAGGGAAGGGCACACUUCGCCCUCCCGGCCCAUUCCCAGACCGCCAGGCAGGGCCUCCAUGGCGAGGGCGAGAACAGAAGGUGCCCUGCGGUCAGACAGCGGGAAGCGCGCGCUCCUCCCCGGGCCUGGCUUGGGCGAUCGCGGCCGCGGCCCCAGCAGUGACCCCCUGGGCAGAGGUGGGCUCUGGGUUGAGUACAUGACAUCCGCCCCCGCCUCUGGGAGAGGGGGGACUCGCGCGGGAUUGUGGGGCCGUGGCACCCGGGCUAUUCUCAGGCCAGAACCCCUUUAACAAGAGGGUGGCAGUGGAGUGCAGAGGACACAGCUGGGGAUUGCCUGACAGAACGGGGCUCCUUGCUUUCUUCACAGGUCACCCCCUAGAUAUGUACCCCUGGUAAACUUUUUAUUUUGAUUUCAUUAAAAAAGAAAUCAAG